rnacentral:Y_RNA from 1 species
GGCCAGUCCGAGUGCAGUGGUGUUUACAAGUCAUUGAUCGCAAAAAGUUACACAUUUCUUUGUUCCUUCUCCAUUCCCACUGCUUCACUAGACCAGCCUUUA